CUACGGGACGCUGCAGUGGGGAAUAUUGGACAAUGGGGGAAACCCUGAUCCAGCAAUGCCGCGUGUGUGAAGAAGGCCUGCGGGUUGUAAAGCACUUUCGGUUGGGAGGACUGCUUCUAGCACUAAUAUUGUUGGAAGUUGACGUUACCUUCAGAAGAAGCACCGGCUAACUCCGUGCCAGCAGCCGCGGUAAUACGGGGGGUGCAAGCGUUAAUCGGAAUUACUGGGCGUAAAGCGCGCGUAGGCGGCUAGAUCAGUCGGGUGUGAAAGCCCCGGGCUUAACCUGGGAACUGCAUCCGAUACUGUCUAGCUUGAGUACAGGAGAGGAGAGUGGAAUUCCACAUGUAGCGGUGAAAUGCGUAGAUAUGUGGAGGAACACCAAUGGCGAAGGCAGCUCUCUGGCCUGAUACUGACGCUGAGGUGCGAAAGCGUUGGGAGCAAACAGGAUUAGAUACCCGGGUAGUC
rnacentral:rRNA from 1 species